UACGUAGGGUGCGAGCGUUAAUCGGAUUUACUGGGCGUAAAGCGUGCGCAGGCGGCCCGUUAAGACAGGUGUGAAAUCCCUGGGCUCAACGUAGGAAUUGCGCUUGUGACUGGCGGGCUCGAGUACGGUAGAGGGGGGUGGAAUUCCUGGUGUAGCAGUGAAAUGCGUAGAGAUCAGGAGGAACACCGAUGGCGAAGGCAGCCCCCUGGGCCUGUACUGACGCUCAUGCACGAAAGCGUGGGGAGCAAACAGG
rnacentral:rRNA from 1 species